AUGUUAAUCACUUGGGGAUCUUGUUAAAAUGCAGAUUCUGAUUCACUAGGCCUGCAGCAUGGCCUGAGAUUCUGCAUUUCUAAGUAGCUCCCAGGUGAUGCUGGU
rnacentral:pre_miRNA from 1 species